CAGCAGAAACCCUUGGGGAGAACCGCAGCAGGAGCUGCUACCGAUUCUGAAGGGCAUCUCUCCCUGCUUGGUGGAGAAGGAGAUACCAAGUGGAACAAGGCUGGCAUGUAUCCACAGGAGCCUCUGCCUGGCUGGUACUGGAUGGUAAGAGCAGCAAGCAGUUGGUACCGCACUCAUGAUCAUUGCAAUUACCAUUUCACUCUUAAUAAGCACUAACCAUGCCCUACUCCCGGCUGGAUUUGGCUUAGGAUACCAUUUCUGAGCAGCCUCAGCCCUUGUUACAAGCUCCUCCAGGUUCCGCCAGAGCUCCUGUUGAAUGGCCGUGGACACCUGGUUUGGAUGCCUGAAAAAUUUCAAGCCUUGAACAUGAGAUUGAGCUGUGUCCUGCUUCUGCACUGCCAAGCUGCCCGCCUGCACCCCAUCAAACAUUUGAAGGUUCAGACACAGACCAAAAUCCAGAGCCUGAGAGUUCAAACUGAAGUGGAGUCAGUGCUACUGCUGCUGCCUCAUACAGCCCAUUCGCCUGCCUGGGAGAGUUAAUGGCAUCCUCUGCAGUGAUUUUGUGUUUUUGUUUUUUUUUUUUCCCCAAACCUCAUUCCACUGCUAUGAAAUUGUAACUGUGUUAAACAAAAAACAGUGAAGACACAUUAUUUGUAUCUCCUGCUCUCAGUUUCUGCUUUCUCAA